CCUACGGGGGGCAGCAGUGAGGAAUAUUGGUCAAUGGACGAGAGUCUGAACCAGCCAAGUAGCGUGAAGGAUGACUGCCCUAUGGGUUGUAAACUUCUUUUAUAUGGGAAUAAAACGUUCCACGUGUGGGAUUUUGUAUGUACCAUAUGAAUAAGGAUCGGCUAACUCCGUGCCAGCAGCCGCGGUAAUACGGAGGAUCCGAGCGUUAGCCGGAUUUAUUGGGUUUAAAGGGAGCGUAGGUGGAUUGUUAAGUCAGUUGUGAAAGUUUGCGGCUCAACCGUAAAAUUGCAGUCGAAACUGGCAGUCUUGAGUACAGUAGAGGUGGGCGGAAUUCGUGGUGUAGCGGUGAAAUGCUUAGAUAUCACGAAGAAUUCCGAUUGCGAAGGCAGUUCACUGGACUGCAACUGACACUGAGGCUCGAAAGUGUGGGUAUCAAACAGGAUUAGAUACCCCUGUAGUC
rnacentral:rRNA from 1 species